rnacentral:rRNA from 1 species
GAAGAAUAGUUCAUUGUUCCAUUAUAUUUUUUGUUUAUAAUAAAUACUUUGAUUUUUGGUAAUAAAAUUAUUUAAAAUGUUAUUUUGCAUGUAAAUUUUAAUAAGUUAAUUUUUUCUUAAUGAUUUAAAUUUUAUUUUCAGUAUAUAGGUUUUAAAAAAAUGAUUUUUCAUUUAGAUUAAACUUUUUACACUUGAAAAAUAUUGUGCCAGCAUUCGCGGUUACACAAUAAGGUGAUAAUAAUUUUUUCAGUUAUCAGUUUUUUUUUUAUUAUUUAUAUUUAGGUGAAAUUUAUAUAAAUAUUUUAUUUAAAAUCUGUUAAAUUUUUGUAUAAACCAGGAUUAGAUACCCUGUUAUUUUAAUUCAAUUUUUUUUUUUCUGGGGAGUAAAUUUUUUUUUAAAUUCAAUGGAUCUGGCGGUUUUUAAAUCUUUUUAGAGGAACCUGUAUUUUAAAUGAUAAUCCACGAUUGAUUUUACCUUUUUUUUCUUGUAUAUCUCUGUUGUUGAAUGUAAUAAAAAUUAAUUUUCUUUUUCUUUAUUUGAUUUAAUUCAGGUCAAGGUGCAGUUAUAAUAAGGUUAAUAUGGGUUACAGAAAUUUUUGUUUGUGGAUUAGUUUUUAAAUAAGUUUAUGAAUGUGGAUUUAAAAGUAAUUUUUUUUAUUAAAUUUUUUGAAUUUAGCACUUGAUUAUGUACAUAUCGCCCGUCAUUCUCAUGAAUUGAGACAAGUCGUAACAAAGUAGAUGUACCGGAAGGUGUAUCUAGAAUCAA